rnacentral:rRNA from 1 species
GAUGAACGCUGGCGGCGUGCCUAAUACAUGCAAGUCGGGCGAACAGACGAGGAGCUUGCUCCUCUGACGUUAGCGGCGGACGGGUGAGUAACACGUGGAUAACCUACCUAUAAGACUGGGAUAACUUCGGGAAACCGGAGCUAAUACCGGAUAAUAUAUUGAACCGCAUGGUUCAAUAGUGAAAGACGGUUUUGCUGUCACUUAUAGAUGGAUCCGCGCCGCAUUAGCUAGUUGGUAAGGUAACGGCUUACCAAGGCGACGAUGCGUAGCCGACCUGAGAGGGUGAUCGGCCACACUGGAACUGAGAAACGGUCCAGACUCCUACGGGAGGCAGCAGUAGGGAAUCUUCCGCAAUGGGCGAAAGCCUGACGGAGCAACGCCGCGUGAGUGAUGAAGGUCUUCGGAUCGUAAAACUCUGUUAUUAGGGAAGAACAAAUGUGUAAGUAACUAUGCACGUCUUGACGGUACCUAAUCAGAAAGCCACGGCUAACUACGUG